rnacentral:rRNA from 1 species
UACGUAGGGCGCAAGCGUUGUCCGGAAUUAUUGGGCGUAAAGAGCUUGUAGGCGGUUUGUCGCGUCUGCUGUGAAAUUUCGGGGCUCAACCCCGAACUUGCAGUGGGUACGGGCAGACUAGAGUGUGGUAGGGGAGACUGGAAUUCCUGGUGUAGCGGUGAAAUGCGCAGAUAUCAGGAGGAACACCGAUGGCGAAGGCAGGUCUCUGGGCCAUAACUGACGCUGAGAAGCGAAAGCAUGGGGAGCGAACAGG